rnacentral:tRNA from 1 species
GGGCCUAUAGCUCAGUUGGUUAGAGCAACAGACUCAUAAUCUGUGGGUCGUAGGUUCAAGUCCUACUGGGCCCA